rnacentral:rRNA from 1 species
UUCUAAGGGCGGUGAAGUCAGACCGGAAGGACUGGUGGAGCGCUUAGAAGUGAGAAUGCCGGUAUGAGUAGCGAAAGAAGGGUGAGAAUCCCUUCCACCGAAUAUCUAAGGUUUCCUGAGGAAGGCUCGUCCGCUCAGGGUUAGUCGGGACCUAAGCCGAGGCCGAUAGGCGUAGGCGAUGGACAACAGGUAGAGAUUCCUGUACCAGUGCUAAUUGUUUAACCGAUGGGGUGACACAGAAGGAUAGGGAAUCGCACGAAUGGAAAUGUGCGUCCAAGCAGUGAGUGUGAGAAGUAGGCAAAUCCGCUUCUCGCGAAGCAUGAGCUGUGAUGGGGAAGGAAAUUAAGUACGGAAGUUCCUGAUUUCACGCUGUCAAGAAAAGCCUCUAGGAAGAGUAGUACUGCCCGUACCGCAAACCGACACAGGUAGAUGAGGAGAGAAUCCUAAGGUGAGCGAGAGAACUCUCGUUAAGGAACUCGGCAAAAUGACCCCGUAACUUCGGGAGAAGGGGUGCUCUAUUAGGGUGCAAGCCCGAGAGAGCCGCAGUGAAUAGGCCCAGGCGACUGUUUAGCAAAAACACAGGUCUCUGCAAAACCGUAAGGUGACGUAUAGGGGCUGACGCCUGCCCGGUGCUGGAAGGUUAAGAGGAGUGCUUAGCUUCGGCGAAGGUACGAAUUGAAGCCCCAGUAAACGGCGGCCGUAACUAUAACGGUCCUAAGGUAGCGAAAUUCCUUGUCGGGUAAGUUCCGACCCGCACGAAAGGCGCAACGAUCUGGGCACUGUCUCAACGAGAGACUCGGUGAAAUUAUAGUACCUGUGAAGAUGCAGGUUACCCGCGACAGGACGGAAAGACCCCGUGGAGCUUUACUGCAACCUGAUAUGGA